rnacentral:rRNA from 1 species
AUUGAACGCUGGCGGCAUGCCUUACACAUGCAAGUCGAACGGUAACAGGUCUUCGGAUGCUGUCGAGUGGCGAACGGGUGAGUAAUACAUCGGAACGUGCCUAGUAGUGGGGGAUAACUACUCGAAAGAGUGGCUAAUACCGCAUGAGAUCUACGGAUGAAAGCAGGGGAUCGCAGGACCUUGUGCUACUAGAGCGGCCGAUGGCAGAUUAGGUAGUUGGUGGGAUAAAAGCUUACCAAGCCGACGAUCUGUAGCUGGUCUGAGAGGACGAUCAGCCACACUGGGACUGAGAAACGGCCCAGACUCCGACGGGAGGCAGCAGUGGGGAAUCUUGGACAAUGGGCGCAAGCCUGAUCCAGCAAUGCCGCGUGCAGGAUGAAGGCCUUCGGGUUGUAAACUGCUUUUGUACGGAACGAAAAGCCCCGGGUUAAUACCCUGGGGUCAUGACGGUACCGUAAGAAUAAGCACCGGCUAACUACGUGCCAGCCGCCGCCGUAA